GACGAACGCUGGCGGCGUGCCUAAUACAUGCAAGUAGGACGCACAGUCUAUACCGUAGCUUGCUACACCAUAGGCUGUGAGUUGCGAACGGGUGAGUAACGCGUAGGUAACCUGCCUAUUAGAGGGGGAUAACUAUUGGAAACGAUAGCUAAUACCGCAUAACAGUAUGUAACACAUGUUAGAUGCUUGAAAGAUGCAAUUGCAUCGCUAGUAGAUGGACCUGCGUUGUAUUAGCUAGUAGGUAGGGUAAUGGCCUACCUAGGCGACGAUACAUAGCCGACCUGAGAGGGUGAUCGGCCACACUGGGACUGAGACACGGCCCAGACUCCUACGGGAGGCAGCAGUAGGGAAUCUUCGGCAAUGGGGGGAACCCUGACCGAGCAACGCCGCGUGAGUGAAGAAGGGUUUCGGAUCGUAAAGCUCUGUUGUUAAGGAAGAACGAGUGUGAGAAUGGAAAGUUCAUACUGUGACGGUACUUAACCAGAAAGGGACGGCUAACUACGUG
rnacentral:rRNA from 1 species